CUUUAGUAAUUGCGAAUGAACAAGGAUAUGCUUAGCUUGACAAAUGGAGCUAUUGGCUUUGAAUUGUAUUGUGGAAAUGUAUUACCAACAGAGGUGCAGGUGCCAGCCUAUUGAAAUAAAGCGUCAAUGAGGGUGAGAAUCCUGUUUGUCAUGUGCAGCCCUUUGUGCACGGUGUAUAUUUGCUGAGUCACACUCCUUGGCAUUGGAAUGCAAAGUGGGUGGUAAGUUUCAUGUAAAGGUAAACAUGCAAUUGAGACUGAUAGCACACAAGUACCAUGAGGGAAAUAUGAAAAGGACUUUGAAAAGAGAAUUAAAUGAGUUUGUAUUUGCUGAACACAAAGUAAACAGACUUGAUUUGCUUGGUGGGAGUGUUGCACUUGCUUGACAAGAGCUUUGGGCUGUGGGUGUAAUGAUUCUUUCUUUGCAUGCCAGUUUCUAUUUGUACAUCUGAUUACCUUUGCACAUGAAUGAUAAGUCUCCUGUGGGGGGUGGAUUGCAUGUGCAUGUAAUGAUUUGUGUUUUGAUAAAUGUGUCUGGUGUAUGUGUGUGUUCCUGUGCUUGGGGAUGCUUCCUUCCUUGGACUUACAAGCCCUGACACACACAUGCUGGCAAAAUGCUUCUGCUUGACCCGUCUUGAAACACGGACCAAGGAGUCUAACAGAUGUGCAAAGUUUGAAGGUGGUAUACCUUUGUGUGCAAUGAAAGUGUCAGCUGGGAUAUGUGCACCAGCACCCAAUUAAUUAGCGGACAGAGGUUUGAGUUGGAGCAUAUCUAUUAGGACCCGAAAGAUGGUGAACUAUGCCUGAACAGAAUGAAUUCAGAGGAAACUCUGAUGGAGGUUCGUAUCGAUACUGACGUGCAAAUCGUUCGUCAUAUUUGGGUAUAGGGGCGAAAGACUAAUCGAACCAUCUAGUAGCUGGUUCCCUCCGAAGUUUCCCUCAGGAUAGCUGGAGUUGCUCAGUUUUAUCAGGUAAAGCGAAUGAUUAGAGGAAUUGGGGACAGGUUUGUCUUUGACCUAUUCUCAAACUUUAAAUGGGUAAUAUGUAGUGGUUGCUGUAUGGAACUUCUAAGAUAAAUGGCAAUAUU
rnacentral:rRNA from 1 species